AUACUGUGGGAUUAGAUACUGUGGGACUAGAUACUGUGGGACUAGAUACUGUGGGACUAGGUACUGUUGGACUAGAUGCUGUGGGACCAGGUGCUGUGGGACUAGAUACCAUGGGACUAGAUACUGUGGGACUAGGUACUGUGGGACUAGAUACUGUGGGACUAGAUACCAUGGGACUAGAUACCAUGGGACUAGAUACUGUUGGACUAGAUACUGUGGGAAAGAUACCAUUGGACUAGAUACUGUUGGACUAGGUACUGUGGGACUAGAUACUGUGGGACUAGAUACUGUUGGACUAGAUACUGUGGGACUAGAUACUGUGGGACUAGAUACCAUGAGACUAGAUACCAUGGGACUAUAUACUGUGGGACUAGAUACCAUGGGACGAGAUACUGUUGGACUAGAUACUGUGGGAAAGAUACCAUUGGACUAGAUACUGUUGGACUAGAUACCAUGGGACUAGAUACUGUUGGACUAGAUACUGUGGGACUAGAUACUGUUGGACUAGGUACUGUGGGACUAGAUACUGUGGGACUAGAUACUGUGGGACUAGAUACCAUGAGACUAGAUACCAUGGGACUAUAUACUGUGGGACUGGAUACUGUGGGACUAGAUGCUGUUGGACUCAUUACCAUGGGACUAGAUACUGUGGGACUUGGUACUGUUGGACUCACUACCAUGGGACUAGAUACUGUGGGACUCAUUAUCAUGGGACUCGGUACUGUGGGACUAAGUACUGUUGGACUCAUUACCAUGGGACUAGAUACUGUGGGACUAGGUACUGUGAGACUCAUUAUCAUGGGACUAGAUAAUGUGGG
ensembl:lncRNA